rnacentral:rRNA from 1 species
UGAACGCUAGCUACAGGCUUAACACAUGCAAGUCGAGGGGCAGCAUGGUCUUAGCUUGCUAAGGCCGAUGGCGACCGGCGCACGGGUGAGUAACACGUAUCCAACCUGCCGUCUACUCUUGGACAGCCUUCUGAAAGGAAGAUUAAUACAAGAUGGCAUCAUGAGUCCGCAUGUUCACAUGAUUAAAGGUAUUCCGGUAGACGAUGGGGAUGCGUUCCAUUAGAUAGUAGGCGGGGUAACGGCCCACCUAGUCUUCGAUGGAUAGGGGUUCUGAGAGGAAGGUCCCCCACAUUGGAACUGAGACACGGUCCAAACUCCUACGGGAGGCAGCAGUGAGGAAUAUUGGUCAAUGGGCGAGAGCCUGAACCAGCCAAGUAGCGUGAAGGAUGACUGCCCUAUGGGUUGUAAACUUCUUUUAUAAAGGAAUAAAGUCGGGUAUGGAUACCCGUUUGCAUGUACUUUAUGAAUAAGGAUCGGCUAACUCCGUGCCAGCAGCCGCGGUAAUACGGAGGAUCCGAGCGUUAUCCGGAUUUAUUGGGUUUAAAGGGAGCGUAGAUGGAUGUUUAAGUCAGUUGUGAAAGUUUGCGGCUCAACCGUAAAAUUGCAGUUGAUACUGGAUAUCUUGAGUGCAGUUGAGGCAGGCGGAAUUCGUGGUGUAGCGGUGAAAUGCUUAGAUAUCACGAAGAACUCCGAUUGCGAAGGCAGCCUGCUAAGCUGCAACUGACAUUGAGGCUCGAAAGUGUGGGUAUCAAACAGGAUUAGAUACCCUGGUAGUCCACACGGUAAACGAUGAAUACUCGCUGUUUGCGAUAUACUGCAAGCGGCCAAGCGAAAGCGUUAAGUAUUCCACCUGGGGAGUACGCCGGCAACGGUGAAACUCAAAGGAAUUGACGGGGGCCCGCACAAGCGGAGGAACAUGUGGUUUAAUUCGAUGAUACGCGAGGAACCUUACCCGGGCUUAAAUUGCAGAUGAAUUACGGUGAAAGCCGUAAGCCGCAAGGCAUCUGUGAAGGUGCUGCAUGGUUGUCGUCAGCUCGUGCCGUGAGGUGUCGGCUUAAGUGCCAUAACGAGCGCAACCCUUGUUGUCAGUUACUAACAGGUUCCGCUGAGGACUCUGACAAGACUGCCAUCGUAAGAUGUGAGGAAGGUGGGGAUGACGUCAAAUCAGCACGGCCCUUACGUCCGGGGCUACACACGUGUUACAAUGGGGGGUACAGAGGGCCGCUACCACGCGAGUGGAUGCCAAUCCCAAAAACCUCUCUCAGUUCGGACUGGAGUCUGCAACCCGACUCCACGAAGCUGGAUUCGCUAGUAAUCGCGCAUCAGCCACGGCGCGGUGAAUACGUUCCCGGGCCUUGUACACACCGCCCGUCAAGCCAUGGGAGCCGGGGGUACCUGAAGUGCGUAACCGCGAGGAGCGCCCUAGGGUAAAACUGGUGAUUGGGGUGAA